CUUGAUAAGUGAAGCUCUCGGCCUAAAACCAAACGAACGUGAAGUCAGAGAAAAUCUGCUCUGUGCUUCCUGGCUUUGUAAUAAUCAUGUCGACGAAAACCAUGAUUACGGAAUUGGUUGACCAAAGCAGACAACUUGUCCGGCUUGGGAAACCAUGGGCAAGACCAUUAGCUAUAUGGGGCACUGCCUUCUCAAUUGUUGGUUUAUAUCUAACAGACUGGCAAGUUGUUCUUGGGAAGGUGCCAUUUAUCAAGGGAAAAUAUGAGUGGGAAACGCCCAAGUAAUAUCAAAACAAAUGCUUGAAGAAUUUCCUUUGCCAGCCCU